rnacentral:rRNA from 1 species
GACAGAGGUUGCAAACGUUGUUCGGAAUUACUGGGCAUAAAGCGCACGUAGGCGGUCCGUUCAGUCAUGUGUGAAAUCCCCCGGCUCAACCGGGGAAUUGCGCCUGAUACUGGCGGGCUAGAGAUCGAUAGGGGUGAGUGGAACUCCAGGUGGAGCGGUGAAAUGCGUAGAUAUCUGGAGGAACACCGGUGGCGAAAGCGGCUCACUGGAUCGAUACUGACGCUGAGGUGCGAAAGCUAGGGUAGCAAACGGG